GAUGAACGCUGGCGGCGUGCCUAAUACAUGCAAGUCGAGCGAACAGACGAGGAGCUUGCUCCUCUGACGUUAGCGGCGGACGGGUGAGUAACACGUGGAUAACCUACCUAUAAGACUGGGAUAACUUCGGGAAACCGGAGCUAAUACCGGAUAAUAUAUUGAACCGCAUGGUUCAAUAGUGAAAGACGGUUUUGCUGUCACUUAUAGAUGGAUCCGCGCCGCAUUAGCUAGUUGGUAAGGUAACGGCUUACCAAGGCAACGAUGCGUAGCCGACCUGAGAGUGUGGCGGGCAACACGGGAACUGCGCCACGGUCCAGACCCCGACGGGAGGGAAAAGUAGGGACUCUCGCGCAAGGGGCGAAAGCUUGACGGAGAAACCCGGCGUGAGUGAUGAAGGUCUUCGGAUCGUAAAACUCUGUUAUUAGGGAAAAAAAAAUGUGUAAGAAACUAUGCACGUCUUGACGGUACCUAAUCAGAAAGCCACGGAUAACUACGUG
rnacentral:rRNA from 1 species